UUCGACGGCAAGAGAGUUGUAGCAUGAAAAGACUCGUUUGGGUAACACUUGACCGUCAAAUGUCAAAACGACUGUCUCUGAAGCAACAUCUAAAGAUGAAAAUAAAUUCCUGCCAACCUUGGUGCUAGUAGUGUCCUUAUUUGUAUUUACUUUAUCCGAAGAGUUUAUGGUAGACUGAAUGUUAGACUUUGAAGGAGCUUGGGUGUCUUGUAUGUUCUCCUGACAAUCGCACGAAUAAUCCCCGCCUUCAUUUUUCCUUCUUUUUUUAUUACAUGUUUUGCAUCGUUUGUGACUCUGACUCUUAUUUCUUUUACGUUCACUCCUGCUACCUACAGAAGUGUCCGUGUCCAUGGCCGAAUCUAUUGUGACAUUACUUCCGACCUGGAGGUUUUCACCUCCAGGGUCGGGGGGGUCGUCGUCCCCCAU